rnacentral:rRNA from 1 species
AUUGAACGCUGGCGGCAUGCCUUACACAUGCAAGUCGAACGGCAGCACGGGUGCUUGCACCUGGUGGCGAGUGGCGAACGGGUGAGUAAUACAUCGGAACAUGUCCUGUAGUGGGGGAUAGCCCGGCGAAAGCCGGAUUAAUACCGCAUACGAACUACGGAUGAAAGCGGGGGACCUUCGGGCCUCGCGCUAUAGGGUUGGCCGAUGGCUGAUUCGCUAGUUGGUGGGGUAAAGGCCUACCAAGGCGACGAUCAGUAGCUGGUUUGAGAGGAGGACCAGCCACACUGGGACUGAGACACGGCCCAGACUCCUACGGGAGGCAGCAGUGGGAAUUUUGGACAAUGGGCGAAAGCCUGAUCCAGCAAUGCCGCGUGUGUGAAGAAGGCCUUCGGGUUGUAAAGCACUUUUGUCCGGAAAGAAAUCCUUGGCCCUAAUACGGUCGGGGGAUGACGGUACCGGAAGAAUAAGCACCGGCUAACUACGUG